AUUGAACGCUGGCGGCAGGCCUAACACAUGCAAGUCGAGCGAGCGGCGGACGGGUGAGUAAUGUAUGGGGACUGCCCGAUAGAGGGGGAUAACUACUGGAAACGGUGGCUAAUACCGCAUACUAUCGGAUAACCCAUAUGGGAUUAGCUAGUAGGUGGGGUAAAGGCUCACCUAGGCGACGAUCUCUAGCUGGUCUGAGAGGAUGAUCGCCAACACGGGGACGAGGACACGGCCCGUACUCCGACGGAGGCAGCAGUGGGAAAUAUUGCACAAUGGGCGCAAGCCUGAUGCAGCCAUGCCGCGUGUAUAAAGAAGGCCUUAGGUUGGGAAAGUACUUGCAGCGGGGAGGCGUUACCCGCAGAAGAAGCACCGCCUAACUCCGUGCCAGCAGCCGCGGUAAUUC
rnacentral:rRNA from 1 species